rnacentral:rRNA from 1 species
CAGCCGCGGUAAUACAGAGGGGGCAAGCGUUGUUCGGAAUUACUGGGCGUAAAGGGCGCGUAGGCGACCUUUAAAGUCGAACGUGAAAUCCCCGGGGUCAACCCGGGAAGUGCGUACGAUACUGGAAGGCUUGAAUCCGGGAGAGGAAUUCGGAAUUCCAGGUGUAGCGGUGAAAUGCGUAGAUAUCUGGAGGAACACCGGUGGCGAAGACGGCAUCCUGGACCGACAUUGACGCUGAGGCGCGAAAGCCAGGGGAGCAAACGGGAUUAGAUACCCCGGUAGUCAUGGCCCUAAACGAUGAAUGCUUGGUGUGGCGGGUAUCGAUCCCUACCGUGCCGAAGCUAACGCAUUAA